AGCUCCAAUAGCGUAUAUUAAAGUUGUUGCAGUUAAAACGCUCGUAGUCGGAUUUCGGGGCGGGCCGACCGGUCUGCCGUUGGGUAUGCACUGGCCGGCGCGUCCUUCCUUCCGGAGACCGUGCCUUCUCUUAACUGGGCGGGUUCGGGAGACGGAACGUUUACUUUGAAAAAAUCAGAGUGUUUCAAGCAGGCAGCUCGCUCUUGCAUGGAUUAGCAUGGGAUAAUGAAAUAGGACUUUGGUGCUAUUUUGUUGGUUUCGAACACCGAAGUAAUGAUUAACAGGGACAGUCAGGGGCACUCGUAUUCCGCCGAGAGAGGUGAAAUUCUCAGACCAGCGGAAGACGAACCACUGCGAAAGCAUUUGCCAGGGAUGUUUUCACUG
rnacentral:rRNA from 1 species